rnacentral:lncRNA from 1 species
UAUAGAAUUUCAUGGACAUUCUACAAAAUCUUACAGACUCUUUAGUCUUGAAUUGAAGUGGAGUAAAAGAGUUCGACCAGAUGUCCACAGACAGAUUCUACCUGUUCUGCCACAUAAAAUGAAGCAUUAUGCUGAAAGUGCAUAUGUAGAGUUUGGAGCAAAAAUGAGAUUGGAGUGAGGUGGAGAGGAAAUAGACAUAAAUGAGUCAGAGAAGCCGUAGUCCUCCACCCCGUAGGAUUUGCUUUCCGCAGCUUCAGUAACCAAAAGUCAAAGGCGUUGUUGAAAGCCAUGCUCCUCCUUCUGAGGAACCCUCAGAAGGUGAGCAGGUGCCUAACUCUACGUCACAGUGCCUACGCCAUUUCCCUCACGUCGUCUCACCAUGUAGGCAUUUCAUCAUCUCACCUCCUCGUCAGAAGUAUGAGUGCCGCACCACAAGUGCUACUUCCCAUCAUUCAUUAUCUACAGUGACUUCAGAUCCAAUAAAACGCCAAUACUGCUAAAGUACUCAAAUUUAGGAUUCCAGUUAUUUACAGUGUAAAAUCCAGAUUCCUUUAAUGCAUCUAUUUGCCUCCUUUGCCAGCCUGGAUUCUCUCCUAUUCUUUUCUGUGCUCCAGAAGAACAAAGAAUUUGCAUUCUCUAACAAAAUCUGAACAAAACAACAUGAAAUAAAAUUUUUUAAUUGCUGUCCUUGCCUGUGCUUGAAAUGCCC